CCUACGGGAGGCAGCAGUGGGGAAUAUUGGACAAUGGGCGAAAGCCUGAUCCAGCCAUGCCGCGUGUGUGAAGAAGGCCUUCGGGUUGUAAAGCACUUUCAGUGGGGAAGAAAGCCUUGGGGCUAAUACCCUCGAGGAAGGACAUCACCCACAGAAGAAGCACCGGCUAACUCCGUGCCAGCAGCCGCGGUAAUACGGAGGGUGCGAGCGUUAAUCGGAAUUACUGGGCGUAAAGCGCGCGUAGGCGGUCUGAUAAGCCGGUUGUGAAAGCCCCGGGCUCAACCUGGGAACGGCAUCCGGAACUGUCAGGCUAGAGUGCAGGAGAGGAAGGUAGAAUUCCCGGUGUAGCGGUGAAAUGCGUAGAGAUGGGGAGGAAUACCAGUGGCGAAGGCGGCCUUCUGGACUGACACUGACGCUGAGGUGCGAAAGCGUGGGUAGCAAACAGGAUUAGAUACCCGUGUAGUC
rnacentral:rRNA from 1 species